AAAAAUUGUAUAUAUGGGGUUCUUUGAUAUAUGCUUAAUCUAACCAUGUAUUUAGAUUUUUGAUGUUUGGGCCCGGUUAUCAGAUUGGUCCACAUUGAGGUCUAAAGGGUCCAAAAUUGAACUUUAUUUGAUUUCAUCAAAAAUUGAAUUCUUGGGGUUCUUUGAUAUGCUGAAUCUAACCAUGUAUUUAGAUUUUGGAUAUUGGACCAUAAUAGGUAAUGUCCAAUUUAAAAUUUAAAGUUUUUAAGUUUAAGUUCUUAGACCACAUUCAUUAUGUGUCAAAAACCUGUGUUGUGUCAACUAUUUAAUCACAAUCCAAAUUCAGAGCUGUAUCAAGCUUAAAUGUUGUGUCCAUACUUGCC
rnacentral:lncRNA from 1 species